AUUGAACGCUGGCGGAAUGCUUUACACAUGCAAGUCGAACGGCAGCACGGGGGCAACCCUGGUGGCGAGUGGCGAACGGAUGAGUAAUACAUCGGAACGUGCCCAGUCGUGGGGGAUAACGUAGCGAAAGUUACGCUAAUACCGCAUACGAUCUACGGAUGAAAGCGGGGGACCGUAAGGCCUCGCGCGAUUGGAGCGGCCGAUGUCAGAUUAGGUAGUUGGUGAGGUAAAGGCUCACCAAGCCGACGAUCUGUAGCUAGUCUGAGAGGACGACCAGCCACACUGGGACUGAGACACGGCCCAGACUCCUACGGGAGGCAGCAGUGGGGAAUUUUGGACAAUGGGCGCAAGCCUGAUCCAGCCAUUCCGCGUGCAGGACGAAGGCCUUCGGGUUGUAAACUGCUUUUGUACGGAACGAAAAGGCUCUGGUUAAUACCUGGGGCUCAUGACGGUACCGUAAGAAUAAGCACCGGCUAACUACGUGCCAGCCGCCGCAGUAA
rnacentral:rRNA from 1 species